AUUGAACGCUGGCGGCAGGCCUAACACAUGCAAGUCGAGCGGAUGACGGGAGCUUGCUCCUGGAUUCAGCGGCGGACGGGUGAGUAAUGCCUAGGAAUCUGCCUGGUAGUGGGGGACAACGUUUCGAAAGGAACGCUAAUACCGCAUACGUCCUACGAGAGAAAGCAGGGGACCUUCGGGCCUUGCGCUAUCAGAUGAGCCUAGGUCGGAUUAGCUAGUUGGUGAGGUAAUGGCUCAACAAGGCGACGAUCCGUAACUGGUCUGAGAGGAUGAUCAGUCACACUGGAACUGAGACACGGUCCCGACUCCUACGGGAGGCAGGAGUGGGGAAUAAUGGACAAUUGGCGAAAGCCUGAUCCAGUCAUGCCGCGUGUGUGAAGAAGGUCUUCGGAUUGUAAAGCACUUUAAGUUGGGAGGAAGGGCAGUAAGCGAAUACCUUGCUGUUUUGACGUUACCGACAGAAUAAGCACCGGCUAACUCUGUGCCAGCAGCCGCGGUAACAC
rnacentral:rRNA from 1 species